rnacentral:rRNA from 1 species
CCUACGGGUGGCAGCAGUAGGGAAUCUUCGGCAAUGGACGGAAGUCUGACCGAGCAACGCCGCGUGAGUGAAGAAGGUUUUCGGAUCGUAAAGCUCUGUUGUAAGAGAAGAACGAGUGUGAGAGUGGAAAGUUCACACUGUGACGGUAUCUUACCAGAAAGGGACGGCUAACUACGUGCCAGCAGCCGCGGUAAUACGUAGGUCCCGAGCGUUGUCCGGAUUUAUUGGGCGUAAAGCGAGCGCAGGCGGUUAGAUAAGUCUGAAGUUAAGGGCUGUGGCUUAACCAUAGUACGCUUUGGAAACUGUUUAACUUGAGUGCAAGAGGGGAGAGUGGAAUUCCAUGUGUAGCGGUGAAAUGCGUAGAUAUAUGGAGGAACACCGGUGGCGAAAGCGGCUCUCUGGCUUGUAACUGACGCUGAGGCUCGAAAGCGUGGGGAGCAAACAGGAUUAGAUACCCUUGUAGUC